AAAUAAACCAUCACAAAUAACUAAAAUAUCAACCAAAAAAUGAAAACAAAAGAUCAGGACUAAGAGAACUAAAUGAAUACUAAAUUAAAGGCAAAAGGACAAAAACAGAC